rnacentral:lncRNA from 1 species
ACAUUAUCUAAUAAGUAUUUAUUAUUGAAAGAUUGAAUUAGAGCAGAUGGUAAGUAUGUUUCUACAUGUUUGCAUUUCUAUAAUUGUAAGAAAAAGAUUGCUGAAAAUGAUAUGUGUCUGUUUAAGUAAUAUAUGUUCAGUAAACAAUUUUGCUUUGAGUCUCUGCUCCUGCCUUUAUAAGGGUGCAAGAUGCUGAAUGUGUUAAUCCUUAAAGAGAGUAAGAAAAGACUGAACGUUUCUCAGGCUUGAAAUUUAAGCUUUUACCCUUCUUUGGAGCAGUCCAUUUUUAUCUUAGUGGGUUAUUGUUGAUUUUUAAGAGUUUCAGUGAAACUGAAAACCCAUGAUCCAGGCAUCUGUUAAAGGGCGGGGGAACCAAUGUAUAUGGCUUUAUGUCCAUUUCAGAUACUUAAUUUUUAGCUCUGUUGAAAGAACAAUCCUAUUUUUCUUGUAAUAGCCUGCACCUUCCCUUGCAAAUGCAGCUUUACUUGGUAUGAGCAACAAGCAAAUGACUAGAACAAUAAACAGAUAGAAGGAAGGCAUUAAUGCCUGAGUAUUAGUAGCCUAGUUACAGAUUGCACUGCGUCAGACUGCUCCACACCCAGAAGACGUCAGGUGACUUCAGCCCUGCUGCAGUUGUGCAGCAGAGGAGACUGCAGACUUUGAUUGAGGAAACGGAUAUUUCAUGUCUCAGGGUAGACUUUUGCAGUUAUAGCUUUUCUGUUGGUAUGUAUAAUUGAUAAUAACAGCCGGAGGGCAGAUUGUGACAAGAGAUGGACGGUCAGAAGAAAAAUUGGAAGGACAAGGUUGUUGACCUCCUCUACUGGAGAGAUAUUAAGAAGACUGGAGUGGUGUUUGGUGCCAGCUUAUUCUUGCUGCUCUCAUUGACAGUAUUUAGUAUUGUGAGUGUAACAGCCUACAUUGCCUUGGCCCUGCUCUCUGUCACUAUCAGCUUUAGGAUAUAUAAAGGUGUGAUCCAAGCUAUCCAGAAAUCAGAGGAAGGCCACCCAUUCAGGGCAUAUUUGGAAUCUGAAGUAGCUAUAUCUGAGGAAUUGGUUCAAAAAUACAGUAGUUCUACUCUUGGGCAUGUGAACUGCACCAUAAAAGAAUUCAGGCGCCUCUUCUUAGUUGAUGAUUUAGUUGAUUCUCUGAAGUUUGCAGUGUUGAUGUGGGUAUUUACCUAUGUUGGUGCCUUGUUCAAUGGUCUGACACUACUGAUUUUGGCUCUGAUUUCACUCUUCAGUGUUCCUGUUAUUUAUGAACGACAUCAGGCACAGAUAGACCAUUAUCUGGGACUUGCAAAUAAGAAUGUUAAAGAUGCUAUGGCUAAAAUCCAAGCAAAAAUCCCUGGAUUGAAGCGCAAAGCUGAAUGA